CUGGAGUGCUUACUUCGUUUGACAUAAUAACUAAAAAUAUACUUUAUCUCUAUAGCUUAAAGUUUAUUUUUAAAUAGCAAAAGAUGUAAGGAAAAACGGUCUGAAAAGAGAAUGAUUAUUAAGUGGUGGUGUCCCUCUCGCACAUUUUACAAACAAAAAGCAGUGUUGCUAGCUUAGGGGAUUUUCCGUAAAAUCUCGGAAUUUGGACCCCCGUCUUAGUUAUCAAAAAUGGCUUUUAGUGGUUAGUGGAUUUUUUAGUAGCUUGGGCGUUGUUGAAAAUUAUCGAAAAGGUUAAAAUCAAUCCACUUUACAGGAUUUUAAACAUUUUAUGACAAUAAUAUAUCUAAAUACAUAUUAUUUAAACGAUGUGACUUAAACUUAACUAGAAAAUGUUGCGACAAUUUAGAAUUUCCAUCAACGUCAAUAAUUAAAUUGGUUCAAAAUAAACGUACAAAGUUAUGGUGAAAUUAGUUUCUGAUGAUGACAAUUUAUUAAAAUAAAUUAUAUAAGAAGUAUUGAUUAUAUGAUAUAUAUUGAUUUUUAAUAGAACAUCAUGUAUUAAUAAAGCUCAUUAACAAAAAAAUUAUUGUUCUAUAUUAAUAAGAACUCUGUUUAAUGGAAAAUGUAAUGGUAGGUACGUAGAUUUCUGAUGGUUUUCAUGUUGAAUUUGGUGGGAAGCCAGAUUAAUUGUUGGCAUCACCGAAAAAGAGCUAUGAAUGGAUUAAAAGAAAAAUGGCGUCUAUUUACGUUUGUAGUGCGAAGUUAAAAUGGCACUGAUACAGCUUGUGGCUUGUUUUUUUUCGAAAAUCGUGAAACUUUCCGUGUAAUCAUGGUGAACACUUUUAAUCGUCGCACGCAAGCAUGUAUAUCAUUUGCCUGACGUUAAGCCAACGAGGAGGAUCUUCUAGUAAAUAUGACGUUGGAAUUUCUGGAAAAUGUUCUAUAUAAAGGUCAAACAAGAAGAAUCAAGUACUCAAACGCAAGAAAUAAAAAAUACCCCGAGAAAAGCAAAAUUACGACAAGAUGUUAAGGUAUUGAAACAAAAA